rnacentral:misc_RNA from 1 species
AAUAGAACCUUGAACUUUAUUCACUGAAAUUUAUGUAACCACGAAAUCACAAUAUAUAGUUAACAUAUGUAACCAUAUGGAACAAAGUUCAAGGUUCUAUUCAAAGAUAAGGUGGCAAAACUGCUAAUUAUCAACAUAAACACGUAGUUAACAUUUUCUAUCCCAUCGGCUAAGGGAGAAAAAAAAAAAAAAAAAAAUUUCAUCCCAUACAUUCUUAUCAUCAAGUUGUUCUAAGGCCAUAUGCAUCAAUAUCCACUAGAAGCAUAUAUUUUACCACCAAAAGUGCAUUUGAGAAACACCUCUUUAGAUUGGAAACGAAUCAUUU